UUCGGCAUGACACACCGCCAAACUAAGCAUGAUGCUCUGAAGGGCUACAAACAAAAUAAAGUGGAACAUGUGGAAAAGCUACGCGUUCCUCGCAAUUUUGUCCACAGCUGCUGUAAAGGCUUUGGACUACGUUUCAUGGCCCCGUGAGAGAAGUUCGUACGUUGUACUGGACGCCGACAAGAGCAUGAAGCUGUGCCAACGCAGAAGGACAGACAUCGGGCCUGAGGAAAGCUGCAAUCGCUACUGCCUGGCACGCUAUUCAACCUUCGCCUACAGUCGCUGCGUUGAUGACGUCUGCCGAUGCUUUGUUUUCCGAUGACUCGCUCAACUCGCGGCUAACAAAGCUGGCCACGAUGACUUCUCCUAACUAAUUCUCCUAAUAAAUCAUGAAACAAAC